rnacentral:rRNA from 1 species
GUAAAACUUUGGUGCAACAACAUGGGCAUCAAGCUCGAUUAUGCUUCUGUCUAUCACCCGCAAACUAACGGUCAAGUCGAGCGAGCAAAUGGUCUUAUCAUGAGCGGCAUCAAACCCAGAUUAGUGUGGUCCUUAAAGGAGUCUAACACGCAUUGGGUAGAGGAGCUCGACUCCGUACUAUGUGGGCUGCGGACCACGCCAAAUCGCACUACCGGAUACACACCGUUUUUUAUGGUGUACGGCGCAAAGGCGGUUCUGCCCUGCGACAUAAUUCAUGACUCACCUCGAGUGCGCAUGUAUGAAGAAAAAGAGGCCAAGCUCGAUCGGCGGGACUGUUUGGACGCCCUGGAGGAGGAUCGCGACGUGGCAAAAGCCCGUUCCGCAUUAUAUCAGCAACAGGCUCGAAGGUACCAAAGCAGAGAAGUACGGGACAAAACUUAUAACGUUGGCGAACUAGUUCUACGCCUGCCGGAGAAGAAAAAGAACAAACUUAAG